UCCGGCUUAACGCCGGCAGUCUACCUAGAGUGCCCAACUAAAUGGUGGCAACUAAGUACGAGGGUUGCGCUCGUUGCGGGACUUAACCCAACACCUCACGGCACGAGCUGACGACAGCCAUGCAGCACCUGAACCAGCGGUCCCCGAAGGGAAAAUCCUAUUUCUAGGACGGUCCACUGUUGUCUAGCCCAGGUAAGGUUUUUCGCGUUGCAUCGAAUUAAUCCACAUAAUCCACCGCUUGUGCGGGUCCCCGUCAAUUCCUUUGAGUUUUAGCCUUGCGGCCGUACUCCCCAGGCGGGGAACUUAAUGCGUUAGCUUCGGCACGGACGGAGUCGACACCGCCCACACCUAGUUCCCAUCGUUUACGGCGUGGACUAC
rnacentral:misc_RNA from 1 species